UUCGAAUCCUAUAGAGAGUACUAAUAUUAAAAUUUAAGAGAUGUUAAAAGUAAAAGCAGAAAUCGGAAGGUC
rnacentral:tRNA from 1 species